AUUUUAUGUAUAUACGUUUAUUAGAGAAUACUAGUUUUUGUAAGCAGUCAUAAAUGAUUUGGCAUAAUAAUUGUUGUCGAACGCCAUACUCAUGAUAUGCAAUAAAACAAAAACAAAACAAAACAAAAACAAAACAAAAAAAAACAAAAACAAAAUUAAACAAACAAAACAAAAUAUUACACGAUACCAGUUUUAAUGCCGUAUUGACGAGCGCCCCUAAGACGGCUAAUAUUCCAUCGGCUAUUUUUAGAGUCAAAUUUUUGGGGGUCUUAACUGCACCUCAGUUUUAAAAGUUUUUGUCUGGGCAACACG
rnacentral:lncRNA from 1 species